GACGAACGCUGGCGGCGUGCCUAACACAUGCAAGUCGAGCGAGUAGAGUUCUUCGGAACAAAGCUAGCGGCGGACGGGUGAGUAACACGUGGGCAACCUGCCUCAUAGAGGGGAAUAGCCUCCCGAAAGGGAGAUUAAUACCGCAUAAGAUUGUAGCUUCGCAUGAAGUAGCAAUUAAAGGAGCAAUCCGCUAUGAGAUGGGCCCGCGGCGCAUUAGCUAGUUGGUGAGGUAACGGCUCACCAAGGCGACGAUGCGUAGCCGACCUGAGAGGGUGAUCGGCCACAUUGGGACUGAGACACGGCCCAGACUCCUACGGGAGGCAGCAGUGGGGAAUAUUGCACAAUGGGGGAAACCCUGAUGCAGCAACGCCGCGUGAGUGAUGACGGCCUUCGGGUUGUAAAGCUCUGUCUUCAGGGACGACAAUGACGGUACCUGAGGAGGAAGCCACGGCUAACUACGUGCCAGCCGCCGCCGUAAAAC
rnacentral:rRNA from 1 species